GAAAAUUUUUGAUUUUUUACGAUCGGUGUGUACACAUGUAUGUCGCGUAUGGCGCUCUGUGCACACAAAAUCUGAUUUUUCUCGUGUCCCCGAAUAGGAAAGAUCGCGGCCGAACUAUUUCCGCUUGCUUUGCGCACAUAUUCACUUUUCGAAGAACGAACGCAAAAAGGAUUUGUAUGUGUGAAUGGCGAACCGAUUUCAUACAGAUCGAACGCACAUGUGUAUCCUGUAUGGCCAAUUUAAAGGCUUGCCAUUUGAGUGCAAAAUAUUUUUACUGAAAUGAAUAGAAUAAUAGAAAGUAUUUUCGUCCUGUGUAAAUAAAUAAUUGUAUUUAUUGACAACAUAAAUGCCAAUUAAGUGAAUGAAUAUAAUUCCGAUGUAUCCAGACGUACCCUGCUGAUACCCGUCUUAUCUUUCAGCAAACGUGUUAGUGACUUGUUGCUUACUUCCUGAAGUUAUUCUUGGUGAAACCUCACAAGAAAAAAGCAUAAAAAACUCAACACAUGAGGUGAAAAGCACUUUGCUUUCAACCAGCUGUUUUACAAAAACAAGCAAGACAAAAUAGAGAAAUGGAUAACCAAGAAAUGAUUUCAAAAUAUGAAAGAACAGCUCAGGAGCAGCUGCAGCAUUAAAGUAUAUUAUUUAAACAUAAAUAUGUAUAUGUCAUACUCAGAAGGAAGUAAAAUGUACACAAAACGCAGGUAUAGGUAUAACUUCAAAACAAUAACAAUAUUACAUUUUUCCCAUAACCCUUGCUCUUGCUACUACUGUCAGCUCCAUUGUAGAAACCUACAAGUAACAAAUCCUAUUAUUUUCAUCCAUUCAUACGCAAGCGAAAGCUUAUAAAAUGACAGAAAUUACAUUAAUAGCGGGAUUCUGUAACCAGUCUCUAGUCUCUAUUUGAGACAUUUUGAGGUAAAGUCUCAAUUUGUGACUAAUUACUAUUCACUAAACAGUCACAAAACUAAAAAGAACCAUUGUCUGCCAUUAUGAAUAUACUGAAUAGAGAUCAUCAUAGAUAUUAAUCGAUUGUCGUUUUUUAUAUUGUUACAAAAGUAGUAUUAAGUUGUAUUUGUAUUGCUAUAUGCAUCCCUUAUUAUGAACAAUAGCUGUAGGUAUAUGGGAUAGCAUUUGUCUUGUUGUAGACAUCUGGCGCCACGGCUGUCUGCUUGUCUACUUAAACAAUUGCUGAGUCUGGCGCCGCGGCUGUCUGCUUAGCUGCAUUUGGCGCCGUAUAGCAUUAUGGUCUUGUAAUUUCCAGACGCAAUAUUUUAGAAGGACACGUCGGCAUCAGCGAGAAGUGCGUGGCUAUAUAAGCCGUGGCAGCACCAACGUAAUCAAUCAGUGCUAAGAGUAAACUGUUAUAGUGUAGACGAGUUGUAAAAUAAAGAGUUGUUGAAUUGAACAGUUUUUGGUUUUAUUCGUCAAUCCAGAGAUACGAACCUAGCAAAGUAAACUAGCAAGCAGUAAAUUCGCAACAAUAUGUUGUAAGCAGCUCAAACACGAAAAGGUUAAAAAUAAAUAAAUUUUACAUAGAUUUCCUAAAUAUUAUAAAACAAGGUGAACAUAUAUUUAUAUUUUUAUUGAUAAUUAUAUUUUUUGACUAUGUUAAAAAAAAUUUAAUAUUUGUUAUCGACAUAAUUAUUUUCAUUCAAGUGUAAAAACAUCUCUGAAUAAUGAAAUGUAAAUAAACUGAACUUAAAAUCUCAAAUUUAGAGACUUGAGACAGUAUUACAGAACAGAAUCACAUGGUAAGAAUGCCAUAGAAUGAGGGAGACUCAGGGCAAAAGGCCAGGCAGUUCAUAAGGGUUUCCGAAAUAUUCUACUGCUAAAACGGCCAAAAGCCUUAAAAAAGGUAAUACUAUGUUCGGAGCGACAUUGUUCUCGAUGAGUUUUCACUGACAACUAUCAAUACGGGGACUCUCUUGCUCUUGCAAGAUGACACAAAAUGCAAAAAUCUGUACCGAAAUAUGCAAGGCCAAGGGAGCACCCAUUGCAGAAUCUAGUGAUAUAUGACGGCACGAAAAUAAACAUGGGUUUUGGUCUGACAUAUUUUACAGCCAUUGCAAAUAAAUUUUUACGUGUGUUUGUUGUGCCGUUGCACCAAAUUAUGCAAUUGGUGCACCGUGCAAGGGGCUUGCAAGAACAAGAGAAUCCCCUUAACAGUAAGCAGCUGUAUUUGUAUAUGGAAUGUAAACAAAUACCAAGUAACAAUUUAGGUCCGGCAAAAUAUGUCUUCCAAAAAAUUCGAUUAAACUAGAGCAGCCACCGAUUUUAAUGAGUGGAAUGUAAGUUUUCAAGUAGUUUUCAGCGAAAACUGUGUAAGCGUUUAACAGAUUUUACAUGGACGAAAACACAAGUUUUCGUGCGAAAGCCAGUUUGCCCGCAAACGUUCAAAUUAAGUCGUCAAACAUCAGUUUAGUUAGAGAUAAAGAGAUGUUGUUGUUGCUAAACG